rnacentral:rRNA from 1 species
UACGUAGGGAGCAAGCGUUGUCCGGAAUCAUUGGGCGUAAAGCGCGCGUAGGCGGCCUCAUAAGUCCGUUGUGAAAGUCAAAGGCUCAACCUUUGAAAGCCGGUGGAUACUGUCGGGCUAGAGUACGGAAGAGGCAAGUGGAAUUCCUGGUGUAGCGGUGGAAUGCGCAGAUAUCAGGAGGAACACCCAUAGCGAAGGCAGCUUGCUGGGACGUUACUGACGCUAAGGCGCGAAAGCGUGGGGAGCGAACAGG